rnacentral:rRNA from 1 species
CCUACGGGAGGCAGCAGUGGGGAAUUUUGGACAAUGGGCGCAAGCCUGAUCCAGCAAUGCCGCGUGAGUGAAGAAGGCCUUCGGGUUGUAAAGCUCUUUUGUCAGGGAAGAAACGGUGGAGGCUAAUAUCCUUUGCUAAUGACGGUACCUGAAGAAUAAGCACCGGCUAACUACGUGCCAGCAGCCGCGGUAAUACGUAGGGUGCAAGCGUUAAUCGGAAUUACUGGGCGUAAAGUGUGCGCAGGCGGUUUUGUAAGUUUGUCGUGAAAUCCCCGGGCUCAACCUGGGAAUGGCGAUGAAGACUGCAAGGCUAGAAUCUGGCAGAGGGGGGUAGAAUUCCACGUGUAGCAGUGAAAUGCGUAGAGAUGUGGAGGAACACCGAUGGCGAAGGCAGCCCCCUGGGUCAAGAUUGACGCUCAUGCACGAAAGCGUGGGGAGCAAACAGGAUUAGAUACCCUGGUAGUCCACGCCCUAAACGAUGUCUACUAGUUGUCGGGUUUUAAUUAACUUGGUAACGCAGCUAACGCGUGAAGUAGACCGCCUGGGGAGUACGGUCGCAAGAUUAAAACUCAAAUGAAUUGACGG